ensembl:rRNA 5S_rRNA 5S ribosomal RNA
GUCUACAGACAUACCAUCCUUAACACACUGCUUUUGUCUGAUCUUGAAAACUAAGCAGGAUCGGGCCUGGUUAGUAUUUGGAUAGGAGAUGUAGACA